GAUGAACGCUGGCGGCGUGCCUAAUACAUGCAAGUCGAGCGAACAGAUAAGGAGCUUGCUCCUUUGACGUUAGCGGCGGACGGGUGAGUAACACGUGGGUAACCUACCUAUAAGACUGGAAUAACUCCGGGAAACCGGGGCUAAUGCCGGAUAACAUUUAGAACCGCAUGGUUCUAAAGUAAAAGAUGGUUUUGCUAUCACUUAUAGAUGGACCCGCGCCGUAUUAGCUAGUUGGUAAGGUAACGGCUUACCAAGGCAACGAUACGUAGCCGACCUGAGAGGGUGAUCGGCCACACUGGACCUGAGACACGGUCCAGACUCCUACGGGAGGCAGCAGUAGGGAAUCUUCCGCAAUGGGCGAAAGCCUGACGGAGCAACGCCGCGUGAGUGAUGAAGGUCUUCGGAUCGUAAAACUCUGUUAUUAGGGAAGAACAAAUGUGUAAGUAACUGUGCACGUCUUGACGGUACCUAAUCAGAAAGCCACGGCUAACUACGUG
rnacentral:rRNA from 1 species